ACUUCAUGAAGCUGGAAUUGCUAGUAAUCGCGGAUCAGCAAGCCGCGGUGAAUACGUUCCCGGGCCUUGUACACACCGCCCGUCACACCAUGAGAGUCGGGAACACCCGAAGUCCGUAGUCUAACCGCAAGGGGGCGCGGCCGAAGGUGGGUCCGGUAAUUGGGGUGAAGUCGUAACAAGGUACC
rnacentral:rRNA from 1 species